rnacentral:misc_RNA from 1 species
UUGUAACACCCUCCCACCAAGCGGCAUCCGGCUGGAGACCCGGGCCAUUAGAGGGGGGGGAAACGGCAAUCGUGGAUUCGGGGUGAAUUGCUUCAUCUUGUCUAUUUUUUCAUUCUUGUUUGUUUGUUUAUCUUGAAUUAUUUAUUUAUUUCUUUUUUUAACUUCUCCCCUCCGCUUCUCUUUCCUUCCUUCCUUCCUUCCUUCCUUCCUUCUUUUUUCCCUUGAGCGAGGGCGGCCGUAGGCCGCCGCCGCGAGAUUUUUUGGAAAUUAUGGGCGUCGGGGACGGCGCGACACCGCCUUCCUCAGCUAUUGAUAACAUAACCGCACUUGGGUCUGGCGCGCGCGCGUGCGCCGUCGGGCGGCCCCGACACAGGUGUACAAUAUGCGAUUGUGACCGUACUUAGCGGGCGCGCGCGCCGUCGGACUCGCGCGCGAGGGGCGUCGGAGCGGCCCGACGUGGUCAAGGGACGGCUGAUUGUAACUGUCCUUGGCGCGCGCGCGCGCUGUCGGAGCGCCCCGGGGUGCGUUGGGCGGCCGCGACACAUGUAUUCUCGGGCUGUCGGGCUGUCGGGCUUGGGCGUCGGGGCGGCUGAAUAUAAACUAUCUGAAGCCGUACCAGGCGCGCGCGCGCGCCGUCGGGGCCGCCCGACAUGAGCAUCAGAAACAGUAGUUAGCGGGCGCGCGGGCUGUCGGAGUCCGGCGGGGACGGCCCCGAAGCAAAUUAAUGUAACCGCCAUUUCAAACAUAUAUAUGUAUAUGUAGAUGUAAUAAUGCAGGAAUGGCUGGAUCGCGGAAUGGUGUCGCGGACCCAAGUGGUGUACCAUGGGCUAGAAUGGUGCCAUUUCGGUGCCAUUUUCCAAAGCGCCCCGAAUCGACCCGGGACCGCUCCAGACAUAUCCUACGGACGAUUUGGAGCCCAUCGGUGUGUAUCCCGCCGUCGUCGGGCCCCGGUGAGCCCUCCGAAAAUGCGGCUCUAAAAGUGGUACCAUUUUUUUGGUACCAUUGUUUUGGUACCAUUUUUUUGGUACCAUUUUUUUUGGUACCACUUUUUGGUACCACUUUUUGGUACCGUUUUUCAGAGUGCCCCGAAUCGGCCCGGGACCGCUCCAGGCAUGCUCUACGGACGAUUUGGAGCCCAUCGGUGUGUAUCCCGCCGUCGUCGGGCCCCGGUGAGCCCUCCGAAAAUGCGGCUCUAAAAGUGGUACCAUUUUUUUGGUACCAUUGUUUUGGUACCAUUUUUUUGGUACCAUUUUUUUUGGUACCACUUUUUGGUACCACUUUUUGGUACCGUUUUUCAGAGUGCCCCGAAUCGGCCCGGGACCGCUCCAGGCAUGCUCUACGGACGAUUUGGAGCCCUCGGUGUGUAUCCCGCCGUCGUCGGGCCCCGGUGAGCCCUCCGAAAAUGCGGCUCUAAAAGUGGUACCAUUUUUUUGGUACCAUUUUUUUGGUACCAUUUUUUUUGGUACCACUUUUUGGUACCACUUUUUGGUACCGUUUUUCAGAGUGCCCCGAAUCGGCCCGGGACCGCUCCAGGCAUGCUCUACGGACGAUUUGGAGCCCAUCGGUGUGUAUCCCGCCGUCGUCGGGCCCCGGUGAGCCCUCCGAAAAUGCGGCUCUAAAAGUGGUACCAUUUUUUUGGUACCAUUUUUUUGGUACCAUUUUUUUGGUACCAUUUUUUUGGUACCAUUUUUUUUGGUACCACUUUUUGGUACCACUUUUUGGUACCGUUUUUCAGAGUGCCCCGAAUCGGCCCGGGACCGCUCCAGGCAUGCUCUACGGACGAUUUGGAGCCCAUCGGUGUGUAUCCCGCCGUCGUCGGGCCCCGGUGAGCCCUCCGAAAAUGCGGCUCCUAAAAGUGGUACCAUUUUUUUGGUACCAUUUUUUUGGUACCAUUUUUUUGGUACCAUUUUUUUGGUACCAUUUUUUUUGGUACCACUUUUUGGUACCACUUUUUGGUACCGUUUUUCAGAGUGCCCCGAAUCGGCCCGGGACCGCUCCAGGCAUGCUCUACGGACGAUUUGGAGCCCAUCGGUGUGUAUCCCGCCGUCGUCGGGCCCCGGUGAGCCCUCCGAAAAUGCGGCUCUAAAAGUGGUACCAGUGGUACCGCGGGCCAACAAGGUACCGCGAACCCGAAAUGGUGCCACGGGCCCAAACGGUACCAUAAGACCCAGAAGAUCUAUAUUAUUUCCACAGCGAACAGCUGCGUCUUCACGGCGAACGAACCCUCCCUACCCAAAAAAUGAAAAAGUUCCCUCAAUCCAGUCGUGGCUUUUAUAGAUGCAUCCUAUCAGCCUGCUUUACCCCCUCCAGCGGUGCCGGAUCUAUAGCUCCCCUCCCCGCCGACUUAUGCCUCCUUCGAGUCUUGAAGUCCCAAAAAAAAAAUUUAACCAAGUCCGCUUUUUUGUUCCGUUCGAGCCUUUGGAAACUGUUAAUUUUGCGGGNGUCAAGCCCACUUUCCGACUGGGCCCAUAUAAACAGCCUGCAAGUCCAGAUCAGGCUUGGGCCCACUGCACGUGACGCGUGCGAAAUCGCUCGAACAGACCUCGGUGAGUAUAUGUAGGGUGAGGUGAUUCCGAAAAACCAAAAGUAGGCGAGAGCAUUCUUUUGUACGUUUUGACGGUUGACUUUCAUUCUAGCGAUCGUUCCGGGGGGGUAUAUGUAGGCGUGGGCGCGGCUAGUCACAAUCUUUUAACUAGGAUUUGAUUUCUCGCCCGUCUAUAGUCUCGACUCGUUGGUUUCUUGCUUGCUGUAAUCGAUUCUCGGUAUCAAGGCUUUCAACCCCUAGGUUGGGCUUUCGACGUACGGGACGGUUCUGCGGCCUUCAGCAGCCUUCGCGGUUCGCCUGAGGGUCGCCCGAAUUCCUGGCGUCUCUGCACGUUAGGUUUCGAUGGGGCUUGUCGAUUGUUGGUCGCUGACCAUCGCUGACAUCCCUAAUUCUCGGGGGGGAGGUCGAUCUCGAUAUCCGCCGGCGCUUUAACUGCGUCUGCGUGCUCGGGUGUCGAUUCCCUCCUUCCGCUCCCCCAAUGCCGCAGGGGCCGGGCACGACGUGUCUUUGGCCGCCAAAACCUGCGCGCGGAGGAUGGAGGGAAAACUACAGUGGGGGCAAUCGAAUGCCCGCUUCUCACGGACGGUACGCCGUCUCGCUGAGGUUCGGGCGGGCCUGUACGCCUCGCGCGUUGGGCCCCGACCUUGUUUGAUCACUUCUCGGGCGCGGUUAGCUGUGCUGCCCGUUCGGCGUCAGAUCCUUGGGCUUCCAUUCGGGGGCCCUGGGGGGCGGCGGCAGGUGAG